rnacentral:misc_RNA from 1 species
AAUAGAGAGUCUGCUGCAAGGUCAAGGGCUCGCAUGCAGGAUAUUAUGUUGAUUGCAUCAACGAGACAUUGCAAAUUGUUCUGAAGAAAGGUUGCAUAUUGGUGGAACAUUUAGAAAUUACUGGACAGACAGAAAUUAGCCAACAUUUUUUUGGAAUCCUGCUUGUCAGGGAUAUGAUAUUUGUCUUCAUUUAAUUGCCACUGCUGCGUGUUUCCAACACUGUCUCUACAAGCUGCUGUUCUUGUAUCAGUUUUUCGUGGUCAGAAGGAAUAAUCUGACAUAAGAUAAUGUGAUGGUGAUCGUGCUAUUGUAAUUAUGCAAACAUUAAUGCUUAAAUUUGAACUGUGCAGUCUUAAUGCCCUUAGUGUUAAAAGGAGCUUUAGCUAGUGACUAAGAAGAUCUUUAGCACAAGAACAAUGUAACUUGCCACAUGGGGUACAUGAUAGAGAACGUAUGAAACUGGCCUAUUUUGACUUAUUUAUCCACUUUUGGUGAUUGUAUAAAUAGCCCUCCAAUUCAUGGUGUCAGAAUAAAUUCAAGGCCAUAUGAUGGGAAUGUAUUUCUGAGGUUUUACUUGACUAAUUAUCUUUCAACUUUUGAAGGAUGCUUGUUUAAAGCAUCCAUCAUUUUGAUGGAUGUAUUGUGAAUUAAUGAUGCAUAACAGGAAGCAUGGCACUGUUUCAUCUCACAGUAAUCCUGAAUAAAAGAAAGUUUAAAUGCAAAUCACAGUAUUCCUAGAGAGUUGUUGAAAUUUUUCCUGCUGUUGGGGUUUGAGAAAUUUCUACUGAGCGCAUCAGCUUGGCUACUAAUUGGAAAAACUUCAGUAUGAACUGCAAAUGUUGCUAAAUUUCUCUUUGGGGUUCCUUAUAGGCCUAUACAUUGGAGCUAGAAGCAGAGGUUGCAAAACUUAGAGAACUGAACCAAGAGUUGCAGAGAAAACAGGUAAAUUCUUUUGUUAAGUUCAAAUCUCAGAAAAUUUUAGGCUCUAUCGAACUUCCUUGACCUUGCUUUCUAUGCUGCAGGCAGAAAUUAUGGAAAUGCAGAAAAA